CAAUUAACUCCGCCUGUAGCUCUUCUAAAGUUACUGCCGGUCUCAAGCCCGGGUAAAGGAGGAGAGUUGG
rnacentral:ribozyme from 1 species